UACGUAGGGGGCUAGCGUUGUCCGGAUUUAUUGGGCGUAAAGAGCGUGUAGGCGGCCAUGUAGGUCCGGUGUGAAAACUCGAGGCUUAACCUCGAGAUGUCAUCGGAAACCAUUUGGCUAGAGUCCGGAAGAGGAGAGUGGAAUUCCUGGUGUAGCGGUGAAAUGCGCAGAUAUCAGGAAGAACACCAAUGGCGAAAGCAGCUCUCUGGGACGGUACUGACGCUGAGACGCGAAAGCGUGGGGAGCGAAACAGG
rnacentral:rRNA from 1 species